UUGAAGGAUAAAAGUGUUUUCAUAAUGUAUAUACUAUUUUCAUUAAUGUGUUUUCAUUAAUGUAUUCUCAUAAAAUGUGUUCUCAUAAAAUGUGUUAUGUAGCAACAGAGAACAGUCUGUUCUCUGUCAAAUGGCACACAUACACACACACACAGAUUCACAUGACUGACAGUCACAAGAUUCACACACUAACAAAUAAGGCGUUGGUCAACACCACAUGAUUGUCUCAUGUUACUGUUUGUUGAAAUAAAAAGACUGCACUGAGAGAAGGCGAGUGAGAGUUGGUUCUCCUAGCUGAGAGUUGGUUAAGGAGUGGACAUGGCAUAUGUCACUCGCCGAUUCGCCUAGCUGGGAGUUGGUUAAGGAGUUGACAUGGCAUGUCACUCGCUGACUCUCCUUGCAGCAAGUAAACUUGAAACAUGAGUACUGUUAUCUUUGUUCACUGGGUUCUGGUUAUUGAACCGAGCUGGGGUUUACCCUUACAAAGUAAUAUAGAUACCCCACAUUAAUUGGUCCUUCGAGCCGGAUUCCAAUACAUCGUGACGGGAAGGAGGAGGGAAAAGACACGCCGCAAGUCUGUCGACAGCCGGGAUCAUCAGCCGACCCCGAGAAAGACCCGGGACGCAGAAUUCGUGGCCGGGCCGGUGCUUAUAUGUCCAACCUCCCUCAUCCUAGGCACGAUUGACGGAAUCCAACCGGACCAGUGACCACAGAUAACGGGAUACUCGAGUGCAGACUGGUGACCAGGUCCUCGUGAAGGUGAUUAAGAGGAAGCAUUGGCACUGUCCACGGUGGGACGGUCCCUACACGGUACUGCUGACAACACCGACUGCACUAAAAAUCGCCGAAAGAACUACGUGGAUACAUCAGAGCCACUGCAAAAAGAUAAUACCUCUCCAACUUAACGACGGAUAAGUGGUGGAAGUCCGGCUACAAAGGGUG